rnacentral:misc_RNA from 1 species
AAAAGCAAAAAAAAAAAAAAGGUGUUGAGGAAAAAAAUAUAGCUUAUGAACUUGUAUAUGGCUUAAGACUGCUUCCACCCUCCAGUAAUAUGGUCAAGGAUGUUUAUACUAAGAUAUGCUAUGAGAAAAGUUAGAAACAUGGGAAUGUUCGAAAAUCAUGAGAAAAUUGUAUCUACUCAAAAACAAUAUGAAAACUGUGAGAGAGAAAAAAAGGAAACGAAGAAAAG